CCGCCUCACUGCUCCAAACACUUUAAGACUCACAGUGUGGAUCAGUCACUGUUCAGCCCUUUCAGAGUCACUGACACACACAGGACAAUGAUGCCACUGAUUCUACUGCUGGGGACACUGGGGCUCUUUGCUCUAGAAUCCAGUGGACAGGUUACUGUGACUCAGACUCCAGCAGUGAAAUCUGUUCUCUCCGGACAGACAGUCACUGUGAGCUGUAAGACCAGUCCUGCAGUGUAUGUUUAUAACUCUAAGCACUACCUAACCUGGUACCAACAGAAAGCUGGAGAAGCUCCUAAACUCCUGAUCUAUCUUGCAACUACCCGUCAGACUGGGAUCCCAGAGCGUUUCAGUGGCAGUGGAUCUGGGACUGACUUCACUCUGACCAUCACAGGAGUCCAAGCUGAAGAUGCAGCAGAAUAUUACUGCCAGAGUUACCACUACAUCAACAGUAAAGAUCUGUCCACACAGUGUUACACAGCCGUACAAAAACCUCCCUCAGCAGGACUGCACAGCGACUGCACUGCUGCAGCUGGGACCUCUUGCAGGUGCACUUACAAGUUUAUUAUACUAUU